rnacentral:rRNA from 1 species
CCUAACACAUGCAAGUCGAGCGGAUGACGGGAGCUUGCUCCUUGAUUCAGCGGCGGACGGGUGAGUAAUGCCUAGGAAUCUGCCUGGUAGUGGGGGACAACGUUUCGAAAGGAACGCUAAUACCGCAUACGUCCUACGGGAGAAAGCAGGGGACCUUCGGGCCUUGCGCUAUCAGAUGAGCCUAGGUCGGAUUAGCUAGUUGGUGGGGUAAUGGCUCACCAAGGCGACGAUCCGUAACUGGUCUGAGAGGAUGAUCAGUCACACUGGAACUGAGACACGGUCCAGACUCCUACGGGAGGCAGCAGUGGGGAAUAUUGGACAAUGGGCGAAAGCCUGAUCCAGCCAUGCCGCGUGUGUGAAGAAGGUCUUCGGAUUGUAAAGCACUUUAAGUUGGGAGGAAGGGCAGUAAGUUAAUACCUUGCUGUUUUGACGUUACCGACAGAAUAAGCACCGGCUAACUCUGUGCCAGCAGCCGCGGUAAUACAGAGGGUGCAAGCGUUAAUCGGAAUUACUGGGCGUAAAACGCGCGUAGGUGGUUUGUUAAGUUGGAUGUGAAAGCCCCGGGCUCAACCUGGGAACUGCAUCCAAAACUGGCAAGCUAGAGUACGGUAGAGGGUGGUGGAAUUUCCUGUGUAGCGGCGAAAUGCGUAGAUAUAGGAAGGAACACCAGUG